rnacentral:misc_RNA from 1 species
UUUUAUUAUUAUUAUUAUUUUUAUAUUUUCCUUCCGAUCUUUACAUUUGCUCCUUCCCUCUUCCUCAUUCCUCAACAAAAAUGGCUUCCACCACAGAACCCACACAACCACUUUUCCUCUUUCCUUUCAUGGCUUCUUCUGCUUUUUCAGUUUGAUUUCUUUCUUUACCUUCUUCGGCUCAGUUAUGGAUGUCCAAGAUUUGUGGGCAAUUGUUUUUCUUCUUGGGUUCUGCUUUCAGGCUCACGUCCUUCAUUGUCAGACCCAGAACCUGUCAUGCUCCGAAAUUGAUUUUAAGGCAUUGCAGGAUUUCAUGAAUGGCUUGCAAUCACCAAUUCCAGGCUGGGAUACCAAUUCCUCUUCUAAUUGCUGCAAUUGGUCUGGCGUCACAUGCAACUCUUCCUCUUCUCUUGGCCUUAUAAAUUAUCCUCCCACUUCUGCUAGAGUUACCAUGCUGCAGCUUCCAGAGAAAAGGUUGACAGGCAAACUUGUGGACUUUUUAGGCAACUUGGAUGAACUCAGAAUCUUUAAUCUGUCUCGCAAUUUCCUCAAAGACUCGUUACCCUUCUCCUUGUUUCACUUGCCAAAACUGGAGGUUCUAGACUUGAGCGGCAAUGACUUCACUGGUUCAAUCCCGCAGACGAUCCAUCUACCCUCUAUGACCUUCUUCGACAUUUCCUCAAACAAUCUAAAUGGUUCGGUUCCUACCCACAUCUGUGAAAACUCUACUCGAAUUCGGGUCAUUCGUAUGGCAGUGAACUACUUCGCCGGCGACCUUUUACCAGGCCUGGGGAGCUGCACUUCCUUGGAGCAUCUUUGUCUUGGUAUGAAUAAUCUCACUGGUGGUAUAACUCAGGACAUCUUUGGGCUUCAGAAACUCAAGCUGUUGGGUCUCCAGGAUAACAAACUUUCUGGGCAGCUAAGCGCUGAAAUUGGCGAACUCCUCAGCCUUGAAAGAUUGGACAUUUCCUCUAACAAAUUUUCAGGUACCAUACCAGAUGCUUUUAAUAACUUGGCCAACUUUACCUAUUUCUUGGGACAUUCCAAUAAUUUUAUUGGUGAAAUACCCUUCUCUUUAGCUAAUUCUCCAUCACUUAAAUUGCUCAAUUUGAGGAAUAAUUCAUUGGAUGGUGCUAUUCAGCUUAAUUGUUCUGCCAUGAUUAGUUUGGACUCUCUUAAUUUGGGUUCUAAUAAGUUUAAAGGACCUCUGCCUGAUGAUCUUCCUUCUUGUAUGAAUUUGAAGAAUAUAAAUCUUGCCCGGAACAAUUUGAGUGGCGAAAUUCCAGAAACCUUCAAGAAUUUUGGGAGCCUCUCUUAUCUUUCCCUCUCAAAUACCAGCAUCCAUAAUCUUUCAUCGGCCUUGCAAAUCUUGCAGCAAUGCAAGAACUUAACUACUUUGGUCCUAACCUUCAAUUUCCAUGAUGAACUAUUGCCUGCUCAUUCUAGUCUCCAUUUUGAACACUUGAAGGUACUUAUUAUCGCUAGUUGUAGACUCACAGGAUCAAUCCCCCCUUGGUUGAGGGAUAGCAGAAAUUUGCAGUUGUUAGAUUUGUCAUGGAACCGUUUGAGUGGAAAUAUUCCACUCUGGUUUGGUGAUUUUCAGGAUCUCUUUUAUCUGGACUUAUCAAAUAACUCAUUUGUUGGAGAGAUCCCCAAAAACUUCACUCUAUUGCCAAGCCUCAUUAACAGGAGUAUCUCGUUGGUGCAGCAAUCUCCAGAUUUCCCUUUUUACAUGAAAAGGAAUGAAAGUGAGAAGGCAUUGCAGUAUAAUCAGGUUUUGAGUUUGCCACCAACACUGGACCUCAAUCAUAACUUACUUACUGGAUCAAUCUGGGCAGAGUUUGGGAAUCUGAAAAAGCUCCAUGUUUUGGACUUGAAGUAUAAUAAUUUGUCUGGACCAAUACCAAGUGAAUUAUCAUUGAUGACUAGCUUGGAGAUGCUCGAUUUGUCCCACAAUGAUCUUUCAGGGACCAUACCUUCAUCCUUGGUAAAUCUCAGCUUUUUAUCAAAGUUUAGUGUUGCUUACAAUAAUCUCUCUGGGCAGAUUCCGGUUGGAGGUCAGUUUCUGACUUUCCCCAACUCAAGCUUUGAAGGCAAUGAUCUUUGUGGUGACCAUGGUGCUCCCCUUUGUGCAAACCCUAACAAAGUUCCAAGUGAUACACCCAUGAAAUCGAGAAGGAACAAAGAUAUUAUUAUUGGAAUGGCUGUUGGGAUUGUAUUUGGGACCGCUUUUCUGCUUGGUCUCAUGUUCAUGAUUGUGUUGUGGGCAUAUAGGCGAGGAGGAGAGGUUGACACUGAAAAAGAGGGGGUUGACACCAUUGAUAAAGAUUUGGAAGAACUUGGAUCCAUGUCAGUAGUGCUGUUCCAAAAUAAGGAGAACUAUAAAGAGCUUUCCCUAGAGGAACUUCUGAAAUCUACCAACAACUUUGAUCAAGCAAAUAUCGUUGGCUGUGGAGGUUUUGGUCUAGUUUACAAAGCCACUCUCCCUGAUGGUAGAAAGGUUGCUAUUAAAAGGCUCUCUGGUGACUGUGGUCAAGUGGAGAGGGAAUUCCGCGCUGAAGUUGAAACCCUAUCAAGAGCUCAGCACCCAAAUCUUGUCCAUCUUCAAGGCUAUUGCAUGUUCAAAACUGACAGGCUAUUAAUAUACUCUUACAUGGUAAACAGCAGCUUGGAUUAUUGGUUACAUGAAAAAAUUGAUGGUCCAUCAUUGCUGGAUUGGAAUACCAGGCUCCAAAUUGCUCGAGGGGCUGCAAAAGGGCUUGCAUAUCUGCACCAGUCAUGCGAGCCCCAUAUCCUUCACCGUGAUGUCAAGUCAAGUAACAUCCUUCUGGACGAGAAGUUUGAAGCCCAUUUAGCAGAUUUUGGUCUUGCAAGGCUUAUACUACCUUCUGAUACACAUGUGACAACUGAUCUUGUAGGGACAUUAGGCUACAUCCCUCCCGAGUACGGCCAAGCUUCUGUUGCUACCUAUAAGGGGGACGUUUAUAGUUUUGGGGUUGUUCUUUUGGAGCUUCUUACUGGGAAAAGGCCUAUGGAUAUGUGCAAGCCGAAAGGAUCACGGGAUUUGAUCUCUUGGGUAAUUCAAAUGAAGAAGGAGAACAGAGAGAGCGAAGUCUUCGAUCCAUUCAUUUAUGACAAGCAGAACGAUAAGCAAUUACUACAGGUUCUUGACAUUGCUUGCCUUUGUUUAAGUGAAUCCCCAAAAGUGAGGCCUUCAACAACACAGAUGGUUUCAUGGCUUGACAACAUCGAAAUCGCCAGAGUCUAGCUUCGGCCAUUAGUUAUGGUACAGCUGGAGACACUCCUUGUGCACAAAUUAUACAAACUCCAAUUCAUUGGUGUUUUCCUAUGAAAAGGUGAUCCUGUUGUAAAUAUUACUUCCAUAGUUUGGUCCCUUGAAGUUUGUUGCCCUCUUGUGUGGAAGAGGGAGAUAUCCUAGUAUCUAACCAAGUCUAGGAAGCCAGUUAUCUCAAAUGUUGUAAGUUUUUACAGCAAAAAUUAGUUCUUAGUUUCAUUGAAGAAAAAUGUUACACCCAGCCAUGUAUAAAAUAAAAUUUUU